CAAACACUGGGUUUGCAAUAAAAAUAGAAGUUGCAAUGAGUUACAGCAUGGCUGCUUGUGGGAUUGCAGGACGGAUGUGAAUCAAGGAGCAGGGGAUGGGAAAAUGUGGGAGAGUUUUGCUCAGUGUCACAAUCCUGUCAGCCAACAAUGAAAUUGCGGACUCCUCAAGACAACAUCUAUGCCGCUAUUGGCUCACUAAAUCAAGGGAGACAGGCUUUUAACUUGCUAGAAAGAAAUAAACGACUCAAUGGUGAGAUGAAACGAAUUUUCUGGAACCAAGUGAGCAGAUGUGUGUUGGGGGAAGGGAAGAGAGGGGCAAGGUAGGAAAGCAAAGGAGAGAGAGAGACAUGGACAUGGACACCAAGGCUGAGCAGAAACAGGAUGCAUGACGUGAACCCCAGACUCUCUUGAGCCAAGAGAUGAGCCACAGGUGCACUCGGGCAUGAGAGCUGAAGCAGAACUGGAAUGAAGGCAUCUGGAUCGUGUGAGACACCCAAGGCCUCAAGAGUGGAGCCUGAGUCUGUUGAAGGUAAAUUACUUCACUGAUGAGAGAUGCAGUCAUUCUUAGUCACCUUGUGUAGGACCUUUAAUCUUCAGGCUGAUCAAUGAAACCCACUGGAAUUAGGCUCAGAGCAAGGUACUAUCAAUAAUGAAUAAAUG